AAACAUAUGUUCUUUUCAUUCACUUUAGUCGGAAAAAUCCUAAUAAAACAUAUCUGAUGUCAGCUUUUGUUAUAAAGACAAAAUAAGAAAAGUUAAUAAGUAUAUAUGUGAUAUGCAAUAAUAUAUAUGUAUGAAAUGGAGAAGGAACACUUGUUAUUGUAACAUGCUAGGUCAUGAGAGAAUUGGACUAGACAAUCAUGUGAAGAAAAUUUGAGACAUCAUUUUCAUCUAAUCCUUUCCCAAUAUUUAUACCAACUCCACCACGAAGCAAC
rnacentral:lncRNA from 1 species